rnacentral:rRNA from 1 species
CGGAGGAAAAGAAACUAACAAGGAUUCCCUUAGUAACGGCGAGUGAACCGGGAAGAGCUCAAAUUUGAAAUCUGGCUGUCUUCGAUAGUCCGAGUUGUAAUCUAUAGAAGCGUUUUCCGUGCUGAACUGUGUAUAAGUCCCUUGGAACAGGGUAUCAAAGAGGGUGACAAUCCCGUACUUUACACAAUCAUCAGUGCUCUGUGAUACGUUCUCUACGAGUCGAGUUGUUUGGGAAUGCAGCUCAAAAUGGGUGGUAAAUUCCAUCUAAAGCUAAAUAUUGGCGAGAGACCGAUAGCGAACAAGUACCGUGAGGGAAAGAUGAAAAGCACUUUGGAAAGAGAGUUAAACAGUACGUGAAAUUGUUAAAAGGGAAACGAUUGAAGUCAGUCGUGUUUAUUGGAUUCAGCCGGUCUUCGGUGUACUUCCUUUAAACGGGUCAACAUCAGUUUUGUCCGGUGGAUAAAGGCAGUAGGAAUGUGGCUCCCUCGGGAGUGUUAUAGCCUAUUGUCACAUACACUGGAGGAGACUGAGGACUGCAGCUCGCCUUUU